CACUGCCAGCAAAAUAAAAGAAAAACCCUCCUAGACUCACACAAACCAUGCCAAGUUAGACCAGGAUUAGCACUCCCAGGACAACUGGAAGACCACCCCUUAAGUUGACCUUAAAAUCAUGCAAAAGAACUUGAAAUUAAUUUUUAUUCCUGCCAAUAAGACCAACUGGUGGACCAACUCUGGAAAAUGGAUGCAUGACAGGGUAUGGCAUCCAUGACCAGAAAAACACAUCACUUCUCUUUUUGAUAGACUCUUGGCUGCUAAUCCAAUUCUUCCUUCCAGUGCCACAAAUUCAGCUUUUUAAGAAACUUUCAGAGGAAAUGAAGGAGUUCAGAGCAUGUCACCCCAAAAUAUGCU